UUUUUAUGAUGAAAAUGUUUAAAAGCUCAAAAGAGAUAAAUAAGUUUAUCAUAUUCUCUUUCAAGGAUAGAAAUCUCAGUUGAAAGGCUAGUACCAAGGAAUAAUUAUGGUAGCUUACACAUAUACACAUAUUGUGCUUAUAAAGUCCUUUACAUAGAUUAUUACAUUUGAUACUAAACUAAACAGUGAAAUAUUUGCUAUUAUUUUCCAUACAUACAGAUAAGGAAACUUGGGUUCAAAGGUAGUAAGUGAUUUAUUCAGAGAGUGACUUUACUCAGCUAGUAAAAAUCUUAGGUAAAAUUCAAACCCAGAUCUUCCCAACUCUGAGUCAUGUAAUACUUCCCCCUUGAAUCAUGACAAAACAUGGUAGAAUGUCACCUCUAUAAAAUGUUACAUAUAGUGAAAAAUAAAAUACUAAUACUGUGUAGCUCACAUUUGUGUGGCACUUUUAUUGAAGAGAAUAAGACUGUUUAUUUUUUUUAAUAAUAAGGGGAACUCCAUAAUUAAGGAGCAGAGGCAGCACAAUCAUAGGACUAGCUUUGGAUUCAAGAAGACUUCUGUUUGAAUAUCAUUUCAGGCAUAUAUUUGUUAUGUAACCAUGAACAAGUUAUUUAACUCCUUGUUGUACUAGACAGCUUCCCUAGAAAUUACAGAUGAGACGCCAAUCUGCACCAAUGAAGAGAGUUUCCAUUUUGGAAAUCCCCUACAUGCAUGACAUGAUGAUGACAAUGAUGACAAUGAUUAUGAUGAUGGCUACCAUUGUGUUGUGUCUGUAAGGUCAGUAAAGUGCUCUAUGAACAUUAUAUUAUUUGUCCUAACAACAACUCCAUAAGAAAAGGAAAUGGAGCCGAAGGAUCAUCGAUCAUGGAAGGAUUAUGGAAUCUCAGCCCUAGAAAGGACCUUAGAGAUCAGAAGGAUGAGGCGAAGCAUGUGCAGUGGUCCAUCCUGUGGCUACUUUGGGGAACAUCUCUGCCUCUAUUACCAUCUCUAGGCAUAAUCUGCAGAUCAAUUGUCCUCUUUGUACAAAUAUUAAAUUAACCCAGGAAUCAAAUGUGAGUGACAGUAAGGCCUUGAUUAACCAGAAUGCUUUGGGAAUGGAGCAUUCUAGUUAAUUGAAUUUUCUGGUUGACCUGUAACAGAUCUUUUAAAAAUGUGCAUGCCUUUGGAAGUACAGUAUGGUGAGCCUUAUUCUAAAGCUUGAGAUAUCUAUAAGCCAUAAGGGUCAACAUUCUGCAAAGUCAUGUCCAGCCUUCAGUAUUGCAGCUAAAGGAGGCUAAAGAGAACAGAUUGACUCUAUCCAGAAUCCAUGAUAUACCCUGAUCAAAUUCUUUUUUAAACAAAUGUUUAUUUAAAAAUAAAAUCUGUGCUCUGAA